rnacentral:rRNA from 1 species
GACGAACGCUGGCGGCGUGCUUAACACAUGCAAGUCGAACGGAAAGGCCCUGCUUUUGUGGGGUGCUCGAGUGGCGAACGGGUGAGUAACACGUGAGUAACCUGCCCUUGACUAUGGGAUAACUUCAGGAAACUGGGGCUAAUACCGGAUAGGAGCUCCUGCUGCAUGGUGGGGGUUGGAAAGUUUCGGCGGUUGGGGAUGGACUCGCGGCUUAUCAGCUUGUUGGUGGGGUAGUGGCUUACCAAGGCUUUGACGGGUAGCCGGCCUGAGAGGGUGACCGGCCACAUUGGGACUGGGCUAAGGCACAGACUAGUACGGGAGGCAGCAGUGGGGAAUGUUGCACAGUGGGAGGAAGCCUGAUGCGGCGACGCCGCGUGGGGGAUAACGGCCUUCGGGUUGUAAACCGCUUUCGCCUGUGACGAAGCGUGAGUGACGGUAAUGGGUAAAGAAGCCCCGGCUAACUACGUG